UGGGGAAUAUUGCACAAUGGGGGAAACCCUGAUGCAGCGACGCCGCGUGAGCGAUGAAGGCUUUCGAGUCGUAAAGCUCUGUCCUAUGGGAAGAUAAUGACGGUACCAUAGAAGAAAGCCCCGGCUAAUUACGUGCCAGCAGCCGCGGUAAUACGUAAGGGGCGAGCGUUGUCCGGAAUUAUUGGGCGUAAAGAGUGCGUAGGCGGCAAAUUAAGUCAGAUGUGAAAACUAAGGGCUCAACCCAUAGAUUGCAUCUGAAACUGAUAUGCUUGAGUCAAGGAGAGGAAAGUGGAAUUCCUAGUGUAGCGGUGGAAUGCGUAGAUAUUAGGAGGAACACCGAUGGCGAAGGCAGGUCACUGGGCCGUUACUGACACUGAGGAGCGAAAGCGUGGGGAGCGAACAGG
rnacentral:rRNA from 1 species